rnacentral:tRNA from 1 species
GGGGAUAUAGCUCAGCUGGUAGAGUGCUUGCCUUCUAAGCAUGAGGACCUGGGUUUAACUCCCAGUACCACAA